rnacentral:rRNA from 1 species
CGAAAGUUAGAGGUUCGAAGGCGAUCAGAUACCGCCCUAGUUCUAACCAUAAACGAUGCCAGCCAGCGAUCCGGCUGUGUUCCUCAAAUGACACGCCGGGCAGCUUCCGGGAAACCAAAGCUUUUGGGUUCCGGGGGAAGUAUGGUUGCAAAGCUGAAACUUAAAGGAAUUGACGGAGGGGCACCACCAGACGUGGAUGUUGCGGUUCAAUUUGACUCAACGCAGCAAAUCCUACCAGGCCAGGACACAGGAAGGAUUGACAGAUUGAGAGCUCUUUCUUGAUUCUGUGGGUGGUGGUGCAUGGCCGUUCCUGGUUCGUGGAGCGAUUUGUCUUGUUUAUUCUGAUAACGGACGAGAUUCUAGCCUACUAAAUAGACGCUUCGAUCCUUCGAGUCGAGCGUUCUUCUUAGAGGGACAGGCGGUGUUUAGCCGCACGAGGCAGAGCAAUAACAGGUCUGUAAUGCCCUUAGAUGUCCUGGGCCACACGCGUCCUACAUUGAAGGAAUCAACGUGUGCUUUCCCUGUCCGAAGGGACUGGGUAACCCGUUGAACCUCCUUCGUGCUGGGGAUAGAAAAUUGUAAUUAUUUUUCUUGAACGAGGAACUUCUAGUAAGCGCGAGUCAUCAUCUCGGGUUGAUUAGGUCCCUGCCCCUUGUCCACACCGCCCGUCGCUAUUACCGAUUGAAUGAUUUAGUGAGGUCUUCGGACUGGCGCUCGGAUUGGCCUUCGGGUCGAGCCGGCGUGCCGGAAAGAUGACCGAACUUGACCAUUUAGAGGAAAUAAAAGUCGUAACAAGG